UAGACAGACGUGACUUCCGUGUUAGGUGU
rnacentral:piRNA from 1 species